CACAUGCUGCUGGCUCCUGAAGAGAGAGAGCUUGCGUGCCAGGAUCCAGGAGUCAGCCAAGCCGAGGCACUACCUGGGACCCCGACAGAGGAAGUCACAGGGAGAAACAGACCAGAAGACCCCCCUGAUCCAGAUGAACUGUGUGAAACUUUUUCCUGAUGCUGACCCACAGGCUUGAUGGCCUGCUCAGGAAGGCUAAAGGUAGAAACUUAAGACCUGAUAAUAUACGACGUUCUCCUGCACAGAG